GACGGAGGGUGCUAGCGUUGUUCGGAAUUACUGGGCGUAAAGGGCGCGUAGGCGGCCGCCCGCGUCGGAUGUGAAAGCCCGGGGCUCAACCCCGGAACGGCAUCCGAGACGGGGCGGCUGGAGACCGGGAGAGGAGGGUGGAAUAGCCAGUGUAGAGGUGAAAUUCGUAGAUAUUCGCAAGAACACCAGUGGCGAAGGCGGCUGACUGGUCCGGUUCUGACGCUGAGGCGCGAAAGCGUGGGGAGCAAACAGG
rnacentral:rRNA from 1 species